rnacentral:RNase_P_RNA from 1 species
CUAGGAUCCGGAAUGAUUACUCCCGAUUUAAUCGAGAGAGGAAAGUCCAGGCAGCAGGAAGCAGGGUGCCCCGCGUAAGCGGGGGCGGGUAACCGCCAGUUAGAGCAACAGAGACUAUGUCGGUCUAUUUACUAUAAAGGUCGAUAGACACGAGUGAAAAGUCAGCCACAGGCUGAUGGGCCUUUGGCCCAGGCAAUCCUCCCCGCUGCAACCUCCGAAAGGUGCGUUAUUACCAGCUUCCGGAAGCACCAAAGCGAGGGCAAAGACAGAUUAUCAUUUAGAAACAGAACCUGGCUUACCAGGAUCCUUAGGAC